UUUAACUAAUAUUUGACUUUCAGGAAUGCAUAACCUGCAGUGUUACAGCAUUAAAUUAAUUAUUAAUUUCAACUUUUAAGCAGCCUUUCAAACAAGGACAGAGUAAGAGGCAGUGGUAAUUUAGUCAGCACUGCUUCCUGAAGAUCUACAUUCCCAGGCCUCCCGUGACAUCUCAUUACUACUAUUUACAACUGCUCUGAAAGCCUGAGGCAUCCUUGAAUCUGAAACACGCAAAAUACGAUAGAUGGCUCUGCGAUGGAUAACCUCCGAUGUUCCUCCCAGACAAUUAUCCAGGUGGUAUUUCUCCUGAUCUUCUGGGGACAUCCGGGUUAGUUUCUUCUGCACACUCUCAAGCACACGGAUUGUGGCAAGGAAACCACAGAAACUGAGAGGAAUGGCAGAACGAGAAAGCAUGAGUGUGUUUUGCAAAACUCAGAAGAAAAGAUUAAGUCGCUCAGGGCAGGUAAUCUUGCAGUGGGGAGCAUCUUUCUAUCCUGCAGCCUGCCUAUCGGUUGUGACCAGAGGACCAUGGAGCAAAUUUCCCCAAUGACUUCUUGAAACAGCUGUCCCAUCCUUAAGAUCCACCCAACCUUUCGUCCUGAUUCAGCCCAGUCCUUUAACCACAAAUCAGCUUGGAUAACCAUGUUUGUGUGUCUCUUCGUAUCUACUUUCCAAAAGUGUCUUGUUUAAUUGUAUACUGACCUUCCACAGUGGUCCAUCCAAAUGUCAGCUCCUCAUACUUCUCCACACUGAAUUCAUGCAGAUUACCAAAAAUACCAACAAAUUAAACUCAA